rfam:Stereum hirsutum FP-91666 SS1 unplaced genomic scaffold STEHIscaffold_19, whole genome shotgun sequence.
GGGCACAUGGUGUAGUUGGUUUAUCACGCUCGCUUAGCAUGCGAGAGGUGUCCGGUUCAAUUCCGGAUGUGUCCA